GACGAACGCUGGCGGCGUGCUUAACACAUGCAAGUCGAACGGUGAAGCGCCUUCCUUUUUGGUGGGUGUGGAUGAGUGGCGAACGGGUGAGUAACACGUGAGUAACCUGCCCCCUUCUUCUGGAUAACCGCAUGAAAGUGUGGCUAAUACGGGAUAUUCUGGGUCUGCCGCAUGAUGGGUCUGGGAAAGAUAUUGUUUCGGUGGGGGAUGGGCUCGCGGCCUAUCAGCUUGUUGGUGGGGUGAUGGCCUACCAAGGCGGUGACGGGUAGCCGGCCUGAGAGGGUGGACGGUCACACUGGGACUGAGACACGGACCAGACUCCUACGGGAGGCAGCAGUGGGGAAUAUUGCACAAUGGGCGCAAGCCUGAUGCAGCGACGCCGCGUGAGGGAUGGAGGCCUUCGGGUUGUGAACCUCUUUCGCCAGUGAAGCAGGCCUGCCUCGUUUGUGGGUGGGUUGACGGUAGCUGGAUAAGAAGCGCCGGCUAACUACGUG
rnacentral:rRNA from 1 species